CUCGGCAAAACGAAAUUCAGCAGCCGUCAUUUGAAGAUUUGCAACCUUUUGAAGCUUUCAUUCGUGGCUCGUGUAGAAAAAGACUUUCGACAGGAAACUCGGCAAAACGAGAGUUUAAAUAGUAUCAACCGCAAUGAAGGCUACAAUACUGAUCAUUUUUGGGGUUUGUGCUUCCCUCUGUUUGGCCAAAAGUAAAGUGUCUCAGGAUGACGAUUUGGCUGCUGCAAAUUACUUGAUUGAUCUUGUGACGAAAGCAGAUAGGGCAGUAAAGCGUGGCAUCCCUUGUAGAUGCAGUGAUAGAUCUGAUGUUCUGGAUGGAGAACAGUCAUAUAUUGGUGGAGACUGUGGUGGCGGAUGGAAAAAAUGCAAUAUUGUCAAUGCGCUUUUCAACUGUUGUCAAAAAGCAUAAAAUCAAUUAAAAGGAGUGAAAUAAAGCUCAUCAGGAUUGACGCUGACUUCUGUGUUACUAAAAUAAUACUGAAUAAUAAUAAUCAUGGAUAUGAUAAUAAUAUCGAUAAUUAAAGUAUUGUAAACCUGAAA